rnacentral:rRNA from 1 species
UACGUAGGGGGCGAGCGUCGUCCGGAUUUAUUGGGCGUAAAGCGCGCGCAGGCGGCUCCGAGAGCCCGGCGUGAAAGCCCCCGGCUCAACCGGGGGAGGUCGUCGGGGACCUCGGGGCUGGAGGCCGGCAGGGGCGAGCGGAAUUCCCGGUGUAGUGGUGGAAUGCGUAGAGAUCGGGAGGAACACCAGUGGCGAAGGCGGCUCGCUGGGCCGGUCCUGACGCUCAGGCGCGAAAGCGUGGGGAGCGAUCCGG